rnacentral:rRNA from 1 species
GACUGCGGAGGAUCAUUAAUGAUUAACUGUCUGUCGAGCUUGCUCACAGACUUAUCAUAUCCAUAACACCUGUGCACUUGUCGGAUGGCUUAGUGAAGACCGCAAGGUUGGAACUAUCCAUCUACUUUACAUAACAAUUUAGUAACAAAUGUAGUCUUAUUAUAACAUAAUAAAACUUUCAACAACGGAUCUCUUGGCUCUCGCAUCGAUGAAGAACGCAGCGAAAUGCGAUAAGUAAUGUGAAUUGCAGAAUUCGGUGAAUCAUCGAAUCUUUGAACGCACCUUGCGCUCCCUGGUAUUCCGGGGAGCAUGCCUGUUUGAGUGUCAUGAAAACCCUCAACCUUAGAUUGGUUAACACCUUUCUUUGGCUUGGAUUCGGACGUUUGCCGAUGAUAAGUCGGCUCGUCUUAAAAGUAAUAGCUGGAUCUGUCUCGCGACAUGGUUUGACUUGGCGUAAUAAGUAUUUCGCUAAGGACAUCUUCGGAUGGCCGCGUUGCAAGACUAAAGACCGCUUUCUAAUCCAUUGAUCUUCGGAUUAAUAUUCUUGACAUCUGGCCUCAAAUCAGGUAGGACCACCCGCUGAACUUAAGCAUAUCAAUAAGCGGAGGA